AGCCGGGGACGACCCCGAACAUGCUUCAAGGAUUCAGCCGGGACGACCCGG
rnacentral:ncRNA from 1 species